rnacentral:rRNA from 1 species
GAUGAACGCUAGCUACAGGCUUAACACAUGCAAGUCGAGGGGUAACGAGAGGAAAGCUUGCUUUCCCUGUCGACGACCGGCGCACGGGUGAGUAACGCGUAUCCAACCUGCCCCCAACUAGGGAAUAACCUUGCGAAAGUAAGACUAAUACCCUAUAAUUUCCUCAGAUGACAUCUGACGAGGAAUAAAGAUUUAUCGGUUGUGGAUGGGGAUGCGUCUGAUUAGCUUGUUGGCGGGGUAACGGCCCACCAAGGCAACGAUCAGUAGGGGUUCUGAGAGGAAGGCCCCCCACAUUGGAACUGAGACACGGUCCAAACUCCUACGGGAGGCAGCAGUGAGGAAUAUUGGUCAAUGGGCGAAAGCCUGAACCAGCCAAGUAGCGUGCAGGAUGACGGCCCUAUGGGUUGUAAACUGCUUUUAUACAGGAAUAAAGUUAGCCACGUGUGGUUAUUUGUAGGUACUGUAUGAAUAAGGACCGGCUAAUUCCGUGCCAGCAGCCGCAGUAA